rnacentral:rRNA from 1 species
UACGAAGGGGGCUAGCGUUGAUCGGAAUCACUGGGCGUAAAGCGCACGUAGGCGGCUUUCUAAGUCAGGGGUGAAAUCCUGGAGCUCAACUCCAGAACUGCCCUUGAUACUGGAGAGCUAGAGUCCGGAAGAGGUGAGUGGAACUGCGAGUGUAGAGGUGAAAUUCGUAGAUAUUCGCAAGAACACCAGUGGCGAAGGCGGCUCACUGGUCCGGUACUGACGCUGAGGUGCGAAAGCGUGGGGAGCAAACAGG